AAAAAUUGAGGUAUUCAUUACCCCUUGUAUUUAAAACCUCACUCUAUAAAACCUAAAAUUUUUUUAAAAAUGAA
rnacentral:misc_RNA from 1 species